rnacentral:rRNA from 1 species
GGACGAAAGUCUGACCGAGCAACGCCGCGUGAGUGAAGAAGGUUUUCGGAUCGUAAAACUCUGUUGUUAGAGAAGAACAAGGACGUUAGUAACUGAACGUCCCCUGACGGUAUCUAACCAGAAAGCCACGGCUAACUACGUGCCAGCAGCCGCGGUAAUACGUAGGUGGCAAGCGUUGUCCGGAUUUAUUGGGCGUAAAGCGAGCGCAGGCGGUUUCUUAAGUCUGAUGUGAAAGCCCCCGGCUCAACCGGGGAGGGUCAUUGGAAACUGGGAGACUUGAGUGCAGAAGAGGAGAGUGGAAUUCCACGUGUAGCGGUGAAAUGCGUAGAUAUAUGGAGGAACACC